rnacentral:pre_miRNA from 1 species
GGGGGGAGGCCGGAUCCUGGGCUGUGUCCCGGCGCCCUGUGCUCCGGGGCCUGCGCUGUUGGAUUCGCGCUCCGGGCGCGCAGCCCCCU